CCUCUUCGCACGUUUCCAGACUGGUUUCUUCUAAGGAGCCAUUUAUAUAUUCACUUAUAUGCUCUUCCAUAAGCUAGAAGCAGUUAGUCAGAUAGUUGCCAGAU